rnacentral:rRNA from 2 species
GACGGUCGCAAGACCGGCUGGGGUGCUAGUUAAGCCCUCCAGCGCCGAUGGUACUGCUUUCGCGGGAGAGUAGGUCGCUGCCGGUA